GAACGCUGGCGGCGUGCCUAAUACAUGCAAGUCGAGCGGACGGAUGGGAGCUUGCUCCCAGACCGUCAGCGGCGGACGGGUGAGUAACACGUGGGCAACCUGCCUGUAAGACUGGGAUAACUCCGGGAAACCGGGGCUAAUACCGGAUAACUCUUUCCCUCACAUGAGGGAAAGCUGAAAGAUGGCAUCUCGCUAUCACUUACAGAUGGGCCCGCGGCGCAUUAGCUAGUUGGUGAGGUAACGGCUCACCAAGGCGACGAUGCGUAGCCGACCUGAGAGGGUGAUCGGCCACACUGGGACUGAGACACGGCCCAGACUCCUACGGGAGGCAGCAGUAGGGAAUCU
rnacentral:rRNA from 1 species